GAUUAGAUUGCAUCAGGA
rnacentral:misc_RNA from 1 species